GCAUAUCAAUAAGCGGAGGAAAAGAAACCAACAGGGAUUGCCCCAGUAACGGCGAGUGAAGCGGCAAAAGCUCAAAUUUGAAAUCUGGCUCCGUUCCGGGGUCCGAGUUGUAAUUUGCAGAGGAUGCUUUGGGUGCACCCGCGGCGUAAGUCCCUUGGAACAGGGCGUCACAGAGGGUGAGAAUCCCGUCUUGAGUCGCUGGCGUGUGCCCGUGCAAAGCUCCUUCGACGAGUCGAGUUGUUUGGGAAUGCAGCUCUAAUUGGGUGGUAAAUUUCAUCUAAAGCUAAAUACUGGCCGGAGACCGAUAGCGAACAAGUAGAGUGAUCGAAAGGUUAAAAGCACCUUGAAAAGGGAGUUAAAUAGCACGUGAAAUUGUUGAAAGGGAAGCGCUUGCAGCCAGACUCGGGCGCGGAGGCUCAGCGGGCAUGUUUGCCCGUGUACUCCUUCGCGCCCGGGCCAGCAUCAGUUUUGGCGGCCGGUCAAAGGCCCCCGGGAUGUAUCGUCCUCCGGGACGUCUUAUAACCGGGGGUGCAAUGCGGCCAGCCGGGACUGAGGAACGCGCUCCGGCACGGAUGCUGGCGUAAUGGCUGUAAGCGGCCCGUCUUGAAACACGGACC
rnacentral:rRNA from 7 species